CCUACGGGAGGCAGCAGUGAGGAAUAUUGGUCAAUGGCCGGGAGGCUGAACCAGCCAAGUCGCGUGAGGGAAGACGGCCCUACGGGUUGUAAACCUCUUUUGUCAGGGAGCAAGGUGCAGGUCGGGACCUGCUGUGAGAGUACCUGCAGAAAAAGCAUCGGCUAACUCCGUGCCAGCAGCCGCGGUAAUACGGAGGAUGCGAGCGUUAUCCGGAUUUCUUGUGUUUAAAGGGUGCGCAGGCGGAGGCACAAGUCAGCGGUAAAAUCGCGGGGCUCAACCCCGCUCCGCCGUUGAAACUGUGGCCCUUGAGUGCGCGAAGGGUAGGCGGAAUGCGGGGUGUAGCGGUGAAAUGCAUAGAUAUCACGCAGAACUCCGAUCGCGAAGGCAGCCUACCGGCGCGCAACUGACGCUCAUGCACGAAAGCGUGGGUAUCGAACAGGAUUAGAUACCCCUGUAGUC
rnacentral:rRNA from 1 species